UUCCCGUCCCCUGCUGUCCUGAGGCAGAGAACCAGGCUGCGGUGCCCCUGCCGGCGCCUGGGGUGUCCCUACGUGACAGGGAGGGCCCGGGGGGCAGAGGGAUCCUCAGCGCGGGGUCCCCCCUAAAUUUCUCUCUCUCCUUUUCCGCCCUCUCUUCUCCCUCCACUAUCCGGCUCCUCUUUCCCUCCCCUCCUCCUCUCCUGCUCCCCACACCCUCCCCACAGGUGUCACCGCCCCCUCGCCCUCACGUGACCUGGCAUUUCUGGGGGGAGGGGCCCAGUAUGGGCUUUUCUGUCUCGACAUCUCCAGCACCUAGAAUGCAGCGAGGCAUACAGUGGGCGCCUCACCAAUGCACGUUGAGUUGACCCGAGUCCUGGACACAGACAGGCCGCCGCCGGGGUCACUCUGGGCAUUUCCCAGGCAGAGGCAGGUCGGGGUGGAGGGGGAAGGGCCCACCCCACUCAUGGCUGCCUUUUCCUUUCCAGCUCUGCCUCGUGGGACCCCAGGGGCCUGGGUGUGGGACAGAGCGGGGAGCAGCAAGGAGCCAGAAUGGGCCCCGAGUUCCUCACCAGCAGGCCCCCCCAGUAGGAUCACAUAACACUUGGGAAUAAAGAUGCAGCCCAGUAACCCAGCACUGGAGGCAAGGAUGGAGAAGAUCUCUACAACCACCAUGGCCUUACCCUUGGUGCUCUGGUUCUGCAAUAUCCAGGAAGGCCACAACCUUGGGGAAGCAAUGAUCUCUAUCCCUAUUUGGAUACUCAUGUUCUGGGCACUUCUCACAGUGGUCCACAUCUGAAGAGGAAGAAAAUACAGUCAGGUCUUAUCUUGUACAGGAGGAGCUACUGUUAGUGACCUCUCUGAGAUUACCUUCCACCUACUCUGUAUAUGUUCUCAUUACCUUACUAUUCACACACUGUGUUUCCUAUUAAAAGGUGAACUCCUUGAA